AUUGAACGCUGGCGGCAUGCCUUACACAUGCAAGUCGAACGGCAGCACGGGAGCAAUCCUGGUGGCGAGUGGCGAACGGGUGAGUAAAGUAUCGGAACGUGCCCAGUCGUGGGGGAUAACGUAGCGAAAGUUACGCUAAUACCGCAUACGAUCUAUGGAUGAAAGCGGGGGAUCGCAAGACCUCGCGCGAUUGGAGCGGCCGAGAGCAGAUUAGGUAGUGGGUGGGGUAAAGGCUCACCAAGCCGACGAUCCGUAGCUGGUCUGAGAGGACGACCAGCCACACUGGGACUGAGACACGGCCCAGACUCCUACGGGAGGCAGCAGUGGGGAAUUUUGGACAAUGGGCGAAAGCCUGAUCCAGCCAUGCCGCGUGCAGGAUGAAGGCCUUCGGGUUGUAAACUGCUUUUGUACGGAACGAAAAGGUUUGGCCUAAUAAGCUGAGCUCAUGACGGUACCGUAAGAAUAAGCACCGGCUAACUACGUGCCAGCCGCCGCCGUAA
rnacentral:rRNA from 1 species